UUAAGCGACUAAGCGUACACGGUGGAUGCCCUGGCAGUCAGAGGCGAUGAAGGACGUGCUAAUCUGCGAUAAGCGUCGGUAAGGUGAUAUGAACCGUUAUAACCGGCGAUUUCCGAAUGGGGAAACCCAGUGUGUUUCGACACACUAUCAUUAACUGAAUCCAUAGGUUAAUGAGGCGAACCGGGGGAACUGAAACAUCUAAGUACCCCGAGGAAAAGAAAUCAACCGAGAUUCCCCCAGUAGCGGCGAGCGAACGGGGAGCAGCCCAGAGCCUGAAUCAGUGUGUGUGUUAGUGGAAGCGUCUGGAAAGGCGCGCGAUACAGGGUGACAGCCCCGUACACAAAAAUGCACAUGCUGUGAGCUCGAUGAGUAGGGCGGGACACGUGGUAUCCUGUCUGAAUAUGGGGGGACCAUCCUCCAAGGCUAAAUACUCCUGACUGACCGAUAGUGAACCAGUACCGUGAGGGAAAGGCGAAAAGAACCCCGGCGAGGGGAGUGAAAAAGAACCUGAAACCGUGUACGUACAAGCAGUGGGAGCACGCUUAGGCGUGUGACUGCGUACCUUUUGUAUAAUGGGUCAGCGACUUAUAUUCUGUAGCAAGGUUAACCGAAUAGGGGAGCCGAAGGGAAACCGAGUCUUAACUGGGCGUUAAGUUGCAGGGUAUAGACCCGAAACCCGGUGAUCUAGCCAUGGGCAGGUUGAAGGUUGGGUAACACUAACUGGAGGACCGAACCGACUAAUGUUGAAAAAUUAGCGGAUGACUUGUGGCUGGGGGGGAAAGGCCAAUCAAACCGGGAGAUAGCUGGUUCUCCCCGAAAGCUAUUUAGGUAGCGCCUCGUGAAUUCAUCUCCGGGGGUAGAGCACUGUUUCGGCAAGGGGGUCAUCCCGACUUACCAACCCGAUGCAAACUGCGAAUACCGGAGAAUGUUAUCACGGGAGACACACGGCGGGUGCUAACGUCCGUCGUGAAGAGGGAAACAACCCAGACCGCCAGCUAAGGUCCCAAAGUCAUGGUUAAGUGGGAAACGAUGUGGGAAGGCCCAGACAGCCAGGAUGUUGGCUUAGAAGCAGCCAUCAUUUAAAGAAAGCGUAAUAGCUCACUGGUCGAGUCGGCCUGCGCGGAAGAUGUAACGGGGCUAAACCAUGCACCGAAGCUGCGGCAGCGACGCUGAUGCGUUGUUGGGUAGGGGAGCGUUCUGUAAGCCUGCGAAGGUGUGCUGUGAGGCAUGCUGGAGGUAUCAGAAGUGCGAAUGCUGACAUAAGUAACGAUAAAGCGGGUGAAAAGCCCGCUCGCCGGAAGACCAAGGGUUCCUGUCCAACGUUAAUCGGGGCAGGGUGAGUCGACCCCUAAGGCGAGGCCGAAAGGCGUAGUCGAUGGGAAACAGGUUAAUAUUCCUGUACUUGGUGUUACUGCGAAGGGGGGACGGAGAAGGCUAUGUUGGCCGGGCGACGGUUGUCCCGGUUUAAGCGUGUAGGCUGGUUUUCCAGGCAAAUCCGGAAAAUCAAGGCUGAGGCGUGAUGACGAGGCACUACGGUGCUGAAGCAACAAAUGCCCUGCUUCCAGGAAAAGCCUCUAAGCAUCAGGUAACAUCAAAUCGUACCCCAAACCGACACAGGUGGUCAGGUAGAGAAUACCAAGGCGCUUGAGAGAACUCGGGUGAAGGAACUAGGCAAAAUGGUGCCGUAACUUCGGGAGAAGGCACGCUGAUAUGUAGGUGAAGUCCCUUGCGGAUGGAGCUGAAAUCAGUCGAAGAUACCAGCUGGCUGCAACUGUUUAUUAAAAACACAGCACUGUGCAAACACGAAAGUGGACGUAUACGGUGUGACGCCUGCCCGGUGCCGGAAGGUUAAUUGAUGGGGUUAGCGCAAGCGAAGCUCUUGAUCGAAGCCCCGGUAAACGGCGGCCGUAACUAUAACGGUCCUAAGGUAGCGAAAUUCCUUGUCGGGUAAGUUCCGACCUGCACGAAUGGCGUAAUGAUGGCCAGGCUGUCUCCACCCGAGACUCAGUGAAAUUGAACUCGCUGUGAAGAUGCAGUGUACCCGCGGCAAGACGGAAAGACCCCGUGAACCUUUACUAUAGCUUGACACUGAACAUUGAGCCUUGAUGUGUAGGAUAGGUGGGAGGCUUUGAAGUGUGGACGCCAGUCUGCAUGGAGCCGACCUUGAAAUACCACCCUUUAAUGUUUGAUGUUCUAACGUUGACCCGUAAUCCGGGUUGCGGACAGUGUCUGGUGGGUAGUUUGACUGGGGCGGUCUCCUCCUAAAGAGUAACGGAGGAGCACGAAGGUUGGCUAAUCCUGGUCGGACAUCAGGAGGUUAGUGCAAUGGCAUAAGCCAGCUUGACUGCGAGCGUGACGGCGCGAGCAGGUGCGAAAGCAGGUCAUAGUGAUCCGGUGGUUCUGAAUGGAAGGGCCAUCGCUCAACGGAUAAAAGGUACUCCGGGGAUAACAGGCUGAUACCGCCCAAGAGUUCAUAUCGACGGCGGUGUUUGGCACCUCGAUGUCGGCUCAUCACAUCCUGGGGCUGAAGUAGGUCCCAAGGGUAUGGCUGUUCGCCAUUUAAAGUGGUACGCGAGCUGGGUUUAGAACGUCGUGAGACAGUUCGGUCCCUAUCUGCCGUGGGCGCUGGAGAACUGAGGGGGGCUGCUCCUAGUACGAGAGGACCGGAGUGGACGCAUCACUGGUGUUCGGGUUGUCAUGCCAAUGGCACUGCCCGGUAGCUAAAUGCGGAAGAGAUAAGUGCUGAAAGCAUCUAAGCACGAAACUUGCCCCGAGAUGAGUUCUCCCUGACCCUUUAAGGGUCCUGAAGGAACGUUGAAGACGACGACGUUGAUAGGCCGGGUGUGUAAGCGCAGCGAUGCGUUGAGCUAACCGGUACUAAUGAACCGUGAGGCUUAACCUU
rnacentral:rRNA from 1 species